UUUUUAAAUCAGUGAAGCCUAUUGGCUGCUAAGUCCUUCCCGUACAGUAGUUGGCGCUAUGUACCACAAAGCCUUGCGAGCCACGUUCAUUAGGGGAGAAGAAGAAUCGCCACUGAAGAAGAGGAAGAUUUAAAUUGGAGUCGCUUAUCGUUGCUGGAGACCGGAGAGCCGGAGAUCAACGAAGCUACAAAGAAAAAGAAGGAUACUUUACGACGAGAAGGGUCAGUUGAGAAUGAAAAGGCAGGGGGAGAAGAUUUAUGACCUCUUUUUAAAAAGAAGCAAGUCAGGGUCAGGAAAAGAUGAGGCAGACAAACAGCCAGGAUUCAGGUCUGCCAGCAGUCCUGGCAGCUCCCAUCCUGGGACGAGUCAGGAGGAGAGAGAAUGUGAUGCACACAGGCCAUCAUCACCAGUUCCAUUAGACACAGAAGAAAAAGAUGGCAGCUCCCUUCCUGGGACUAGUCGGGAGAGAGAACUCACAACACAGCACAGCCCAUCUUCACCAAGUCAGAGCAUGGACAGAAACAGUCCCAUGCUCAGUUCAGUAAUUAAGUUGCCAAGUUGUGUUUUACAUUUUCUGCAUUGU